UGUCCAGUAGCACCUUAGAGACCAACUAAGUUUGUUCUUGGUAUGAACUUUUGUGUGCAUGCACACAAAAGCUCAUACCAAGAACAAACUUAGUUGGUCUCUAAGGUGCUACUGGACA